CUAAGAGCACAGCAGAAAGUUUGCCAAAAAAGGCUACGUUAAAUGCAGUCUUCAGAGGCUGCACAUAAACCACACAUGUCAAAAUCCUGGUGCUUAACUGGCAGCAAGCUUGGGAGUUUGUAACCAGGAAGAAAGAGAAGAUAAGUCUGCUGACAUAACCACAGGAUUUUCUCACUCUCCUCCAGCUGCAGAAGGAAAAAUGGCAUUGUAUGACAGGGCAGCAUGCCAGAAAUAAGUCAGAGACUGUCAGCCACAGGAUAAGGAAGGGUUUCAAGGUUGGAUAUUAGGAAAAAUUUCUUCUCCAGAAGAACAGUGAGGCACUGGAACAUGCUGCCCAGGAAGGAGGUGGAGUCACGAUCCCUAGAGGUGUUCAAGAAAUGUUUAGAUGUUGUACUGAGGGACGUGGUUUAGUGGGGAAAUAUUGGUGGUAGGUGGACAGUUGGACUAGGUGACCUUGGAGGUCUUUUCCAA
rnacentral:lncRNA from 1 species